ACUCGGGAAUAGCCUUUCGAAAGAAAGAUUAAUGCCCGAUGGUAUAACAGGCCCGCAUGGUCCUGUUAUUAAAGAUUCAUCGGUAACCGAUGGGGAUGCGUUCCAUUAGGCAGUUGGCGGGGUAACGGCCCACCAAACCGACGAUGGAUAGGGGUUCUGAGAGGAAGGUCCCCCACAUUGGAACUGAGACACGGUCCAAACUCCUACGGGAGGCAGCAGUGAGGAAUAUUGGUCAAUGGGCGAGAGCCUGAACCAGCCAAGUAGCGUGAAGGAUGACUGCCCUAUGGGUUGUAAACUUCUUUUAUACGGGAAUAACAAGCGGCACGUGUGCCGUUCUGCAUGUACCGUAUGAAUAAGCAUCGGCUAACUCCGUGCCAGCAGCCGCGGUAAUACGGAGGAUGCGAGCGUUAUCCGGAUUUAUUGGGUUUAAAGGGAGCGCAGACGGGUCUUUAAGUCAGUUGUGAAAGUUUGCGGCUCAACCGUAAAAUUGCAGUUGAUACUGGAGACCUUGAGUGCGGUAUAGGCAGGAGGAAUUCGUGGUGUAGCGGUGAAAUGCUUAGAUAUCACGAAAAGGUCCGAUUG
rnacentral:rRNA from 1 species